rnacentral:tRNA from 1 species
CGGGCAGUAGCUCAGUGGUAGAGCUCCCGUUCCGUAUGCGGAAAGACCUGGAUUCGAUUCCCUGCUGCUUUC